rnacentral:lncRNA from 1 species
AUGCAAUAGUUUAGAAGGUGGAGAUCACUAUAAGAGAUUGCAAAGAGAUAAAUUUGUGAAAGACUGGUUAACUGAUGACUAUUAAAGCUGACAGCUGACAUGCAGCCCUCAGCUGAGAAGACUCAUAAAUCACUGGUUGUUCAAAUGUGGUGAAAUAAACCAGAGGAAAGCCUCUACUCUGCAUCUCUCAUGGUUCCUCAGCCUCUGUUACCGACCGCUACAGAGUCUGGUUGCUUUGUUGUCCUCCCUGUGGAGCCAGUGCUGUGUGACUGACCCUAAACCAAAGUCUAUUUGCAGGGUUGAUCUUAGAGCAGAGAAGUUUUUAUCUUGUAAUGUAUAUUUCAGCUGGGCACAUUGCACUUACCACUAAUGUUGAUCUCUAGCAUCCUGGCUGUGACUUCUCCAGCCAAACUGAUGGGCUGGGCUAUGGGGGCAGGGAGGAACACCUUGGCCAUGUGAGUGCUGCCAGGGGCUUUGGGAAGGGCUGGGAAGCCCUGCAAGACAUUUUGUCUACCUGCAAACGUGGGUGAGAAGAAAGAUGGUGGGAGGGACGGGGGUUGCUGGGAGCACACAUAAAACAUCUGUGUAUUUUAAUUUCUGUUCUAUGGUGGGAAAACUUCACCUGACCUGCUUUCUUGAGAUUUGGAUUUGGAAGACUGAAAAUGGGGCAGAAGAACAUGUACAAUAAGACUGCUGUCAGGGAGGAACAAAAUACCAUUGCUCAGCCGUCUCAGGAAUAGUUUCUGUAGCAGGACAUGUGCAAGGAGAGCUAUGGCGAUUACAAGUAUAGCUGGGAAUUCAGAACUUCAUCUGCACUUUCUAGAAAGUCUCACUUUUGGCCGGUUGCACUGAGGAGUUUUCUCAGGAACUACACAGGGCUUUGUCAUAGGCUCAUUAGCAGACCUCACCAACAGCAGAUGACACUUCAGCUAACCUGA